rnacentral:rRNA from 1 species
GUGCUCCCCCGCCAAUUCCUUCAAGUUUCAGCCUUGCGGCCGUACUUCCCAGGUGGCUCGCUUCACGGCUUCCCUACGGCACCGACCACGGUCGCACCGUGGCCGACACCUAGCGAGUAUCGUUUACGGCUAGGACUACCCGGGUAUCUAAUCCGGUUCGCGCCCCUAGCUUUCGUCCCUUGCCGUCAGAUCCGUUCUGGUGAGACGCCUUCGCCACUGGUGGUCCCUCAAGGAUUACAAGAUUUCACCCCUACCCCUGAGGUACCUCUCACCUCUCCCGGUCUCGAGCCGAUCAGUAUCUCCUGAAAGCCUGACAGUUAAGCUGUCAGAUUUCCCAAGAGACUUAGUCAGCCGGCUACAGACCCUUUAGACCCAAUAAUAGCGGUUACCACUCGAGCCGCCGGUGUUACCGCGGCGGCUGGCACCGGUCUUGCCCGGCCCUUGCUAUGCAAUGCUUUUUAGGCAUUACGACAGCCAGGAUUGUAUCCUGGCACUCGAGGUCCCCUUAUCGCUGUUUCCAGCAUUGUAAAGUUUUCGCGCCUGCUGCACCCCGU